rnacentral:rRNA from 1 species
AGUAACACGUUGGUACCUACCCUCUAUGGGGAAUAACUUCGAGAAAUCGAGGCUAAUACCGCAUAAUAUCUACGGAUUAAAGCAUUUAUGCGCUAGAGGAGGGGCCUGCGUCUGAUUAGCUUGUUGGUGAGGUAAAAGCUCACCAAGGCGACGAUCAGUAGCUGGAUCGAGAGGUUGACCAGCCACACUGGGACUGAGAUACGGCCCAGACUCCUACGGGAGGCAGCAGUAAGGAAUCUUCCACAAUGGGCGAAAGCCUGAUGGAGCAAUGCCGCGUGCAGGAUGACGGCCUUCGGGUUGUAAACUGCUUUUAUAUGGGAAGAUUAUGACGGUACCAUAUGAAUAAGGACCGGCUAACUACGUG